rnacentral:lncRNA from 12 species
CUGCCCUGCCAAACCCAAAUCCUUGGGGGCUUUAACUCCUCCCCCAGGCUCGUUCACAUUGCUGGAGCAGAGCUUUGCUCCCACAGCAAAUGGAGUUAAGUAACUGAAUUAGUCUGGGUGAAACACAAAGAGGGAUUGAGGAGUGGGGGCACUUGGCAGCUCUCUGCAAGGUGACGUCAGGACUGCUGGAAAAGCUCAUCCACACAGCUUCGACCCUGGAAAUUUCCUCUGCUGGAAAACUGGUGGAGUAGGAUGUUUGCUCAUGAUUUGUGUGGUUUGGUAUCCUGGCACCCCAGACUGGGCUAAUAAAACAUCCCACCUGCAGACCUGAAAAAAUGAGAAGAAACUACCACAUUUUAAAGCAAGAUGACGAAUUUAAAUUCAC